CUUCAAAAAUAGGUCUCAGUUCGGACUGUAGGCUGCAACUCGCCUACACGAAGUUGGAAUUGCUAGUAAUCGUGGAUCAGCAUGCCACGGUGAAUACGUUCCCGGGUCUUGUACACACCGCCCGUCACACCAUGGGAGCUGGUAACACCCGAAGUCAGUAGUCUAACCGCAAGGAGGACGCUGCCGAAGGUGGGAUUAGCGACUGGGGUGAAGUCGUAACAAGGUAAC
rnacentral:rRNA from 1 species